GCCUGAGUACCUUGGAUUCUUUCUGGGAGGUUUGUCUAAGGCCCAGGAAGAAGCGGUGGAGUCCUGCUGCCUCCGUGUUGCAGUCACACAAUCUCGGGCCAGUUACUUAAACCCUCGGAGCUGUGGGUUUUGUCGCUGGAAGAUGCGAUCCCACUCCUUGCCAGGCCUCCCUCACCAGUUCAUUACAAGGAGUUGCUGAGGACGCAAUUGGCUUCCCCUAAGGGACCGUACGGGAAAUGGUCUGGAACAACACUGAAAAUCUGCAGAAGGUUUCGGAGCUUGAACUACAAUCCACAAUGAAGGUGGGAGUUUCCGGGGUGUAUCCUACUGUGUUUUCCCCUGCUCCCUUUGGAACUUCCAUCCAUCUAUCCCUCUACUUCCCAGCACAACUGGCACCACAUGCAGGAUACUCUGGAUAUAAAGUCCGGCACCCAGUCUGGGUCUCCCCAGGGGAGGGCAUCCCGUCUGGAUGCCUCGUUUGGACCCCAGCAAACUGUGGCGUCAGGUCUGUGGGUUACGGCACCUCUGCAACAUGUCAGACCAUUUGGCUGUCCUGGUCUUUUAUUCCUUGCCUCCCUCUCCCUGCUUUUGUUCUCUUGGGCUCUUCUGAAAACCACACUUAUGUUCUUCACAUAUGGCAAGGAUUUUUGGUCAAAACUAAAAACCUAUACAAUGUGUUCCUUGGCAAAAGGAUUCGUUAAGCCAGGCUGGCUUCAACUUGAAAGAAAAGCUUUCAGUAGACAGCAAAACAAAACAAAACUCCCACAAACCACUCUGGUCACAUUGUAAUUCUUAUUCAUAAAAGCAAAACAUACUUACCCUUCACAUGUGUGCAUUCAAUAAAGCCCCCUUUCCCUGGGCAGGAAGGUGAGUGUUGGAGUCAUUAAAAUUUUUGUUCUCGAGCUACACAUGGUUCUAGAAAUCCACAGAGACACAUUUUUCUAACAUGCUGGCUUUAGAGUAGGGACCUGAAUCAUUUUCUUAGGAAUUAACCCUCCAGCCAGAUGGCCCAAAGAGAACCCUGUAGAAGCGGUUAUCUGGGGACUGCUAUUAUCUGCAAGGCACCGUGCUAGGGACCUUACACGUAAGUUUCUCAGAUUCCUUACCACUAACCCUACAAGGUGGGUAGCGGAUUAUCUCAUCCAUGGACAAGGAAACUGAGGCCUGGAGGUUAAGAAUCUUGCCCAAGACCUUUUAGCCCUUCUAUCAGGCUCCUCAUCACUGUUGAGAUGCCAGAGGCUUCCUAGUGUUCCCAUAAUCUUUGCCUCAUCUGGGUAUGUUUUCCUUUUUCUAUAAAGUGUUGGGAACCC